rnacentral:rRNA from 1 species
AUUCCGGUUGAUCCUGCCGGAGGCCAUUGCUAUUGGGAUCCGAUUUAGCCAUGCUAGUCGUACGAGUUCAUACUCGUGGCGAAUAGCUCAGUAACACGUGGCCAAACUACCCUUCGGAGCACAAUACCCUCGGGAAACUGAGGCUAAUAGUACAUACCAUACCACCACUGGAAUGAGUGGUAUGCCAAACGCUCCGGCGCCGAAGGAUGUGGCUGCGGCCGAUUAGGUAGACGGUGGGGUAACGGCCCACCGUGCCAAUAAUCGGUAUGGGUCAUGAGAGUGAGAACCCAGAGACGGAAUCUGAGACAAGAUUCCGGGCCCUACGGGGCGCAGCAGGCGCGAAACCUUUACACUGCACGACAGUGCGAUAGGGGGAUCCCAAGUGCACAGGCAUAGCGCCUGUGCUUUUCGGUACCCUAAGGCGGUACCAGAAUAAGGGCUGGGCAAGACCGGUGCCAGCCGCCGCGGUAAUACCGGCAGCCCAAGUGAUGGCCGAUCUUAUUGGGCCUAAAGCGUCCGUAGCUGGCCGCGCAAGUCCAUCGGGAAAUCCACCUGCUCAACAGGUGGGCGCCCGGUAGAAACUGCGUGGCUUGGGACCGGAAGGCGCGACGGGUACGUCCGGGGUAGGAGUGAAAUCCCGUAAUCCUGGACGGACCGCCGAUGGCGAAAGCACGUCGCGAGAACGGAUCCGACAGUGAGGGACGAAGCCAGGGUCUCGAACCGGAUUAGAUACCCGGGUAGUCCUGUCGUAACAUGUCUGCUAGGUGUGGCUCCCACUACRAGUGGGGUGCUGUGUGCCGUAAGGAAGCGU